UACAGAGGGGGCAAGCGUUGUUCGGAAUUACUGGGCGUAAAGGGCGCGUAGGCGGCCGCCUAAGUCAGACGUGAAAUCCCUCGGCUUAACCGAGGAACUGCGUCUGAUACUGGAUGGCUUGAGUUUGGGAGAGGGAUGCGGAAUUCCAGGUGUAGCGGUGAAAUGCGUAGAUAUCUGGAGGAACACCGGUGGCGAAGGCGGCAUCCUGGACCAAUACUGACGCUGAACAGCGAAAGCCAGGGGAGCAAACGGG
rnacentral:rRNA from 1 species